rnacentral:lncRNA from 1 species
AUAAAGUCUGAUUUUGUUUAAGCUAAUGCAGAACCAAACAUUAAAACUUUUUACUGAAUUGAGACCAUUGUGUUAUGUGGAUUGAUCAGGACGGUGAGAGAAUUUGCUCUUCGAUGCCAAAGUAUGGCAAUGGAGACGAACCUGGAAACGAAGCUGGUUACAUUGUUGGAAUGUCGUCUUGUUACCCUGAACCUGCAGUGAAAGUGACUAAGGGAGAGACAUUGACCUUGGAGUUUAAUUACAGUACCACCAAUGGUCAUACCGGAGUUAUGGGACUCUUUUACAUCCUCGUUGCUCAGCAGCUACCUGAACCGGAGAGCUCCUUGCCUGCACUCUUUCAGGUAACCACCCGGUGCCGGAACUCGGUUUAUUCAGACCGGCUUCAACACAUACACGGUUUUUGAGAUAUUGCCAUGUGGUUACUUUACUUAUGUUAGUAUUCAUCAUAUCUUUGCAGGCACAUGCGAAAAGCAUGAGCGUUUUAGCCUUCCUUGCGGUGAUGGUGGUGGUGGCGGUUAUUGUUCUAAUAGCCGCCGUGGUAUACCGGAGACAGAAUCGGGAAGAUGGUUACCAAUCACUUAGCACUUGAAAGUAAAACUAUAUGUCGGCUAGAUAUUUUUCUUUAGUGUGAUAUGUCGACCUAGAACUAUAAAUAAAAGAACUAGACCCAUGGGCGGGUGUAAGGUUUAUUUUGUAACAACAUUUAAGAAAUGUAUACUGGAGUUGGUGUAUUAAAAUGAUUGAGUUUUAUAUGAUCAGAUGGCAUUUUAAAUACAGUACGAUUCAUAAAAAUAUUAAUCAUAUAAUACCAUAAGUUUUGUCAACGAAUGUUUUAUCGUUGACGACAGAUGUAGACAUGUAGUAUAUUUCAUAUUUGGCAGGCAAUAUAAAUAAUUAUAUAGCUUUAUAGCUCUGUACGUAGCCAUUGAUCAAAAGACAUUCUUUUGACUCAUUCGAUUGAACAAUUCUCUAGCUUUAUCGAUCUUGGAGUUAUUUAUGUAUACAAUUAACAUUGCGUGCCAAGUAAUGAUGUUCCUGUCUGGGAUUUCACCGAAUGCUCUCUCACCAUCUUCCACAAAACCUAAUUUCAUGUAACCCAUAAUCAACACAUACCACAUCCUUGAGCAAAAUAUCCUCAAAUGCUCUUUCUAAACCCUGAAGUCCCUAAAACUUGUGUAGCCUCUUAACAAAGCAGACCCAGUAUAAGGGCUUAAGCUAAGCCCUAAUCGAAUAGCAAGCGUGUGAAUUUGCAAAACAGAAACCUUAAACGCAGAUCCCAAUACUGCAUCCAUUAUUGGAGGGAGGGUAAGCUCAUCUGGAUUUAACCCAGAUCUCCGCAUCGCUAUAAAACACUAACAGCACUUUCUGGAUCUCUGGUUUUCUUCAAACCCAUAAGCAUGGUGUUCCACGACACCACAUCUCUGACAGGCAUUUGAUCGAACAUCUGGUGAGCUUCCAACAUAUAAGACCACGUUGAACAUAAGCAGUAAUCAUCAUGUUCCAUGUUGAAUUGUCCAGCGAUGUCCGGUUUUGAUCAAACAGCUUGCGUGCUUCCACCAAACCAUCCUCCCGCAAGUGAUCGUUGAUCAUACGGUUAAGAGUAGCCGUUGGUAUCGUAAAAAUCCGGCGCGAAAAAUGUCCGCAUAGAAAAGUUGCACUUGUCUCUAACGUGCGCAUUUAGCCAAAUGAGCGGGUCAAGUUUUCACACCCAAAGCGGGUUAUCCAACUGGAUCCAAAUUCAAUCGGUACAUAUUCUAUUAAAACAAAAGCACAUUUAGUGUUUGCAUUCAAACACUCACAAAGUUUUUUAAUAAUAUUUUAUUUUAUUUUUAUAUUUAAUUUCCAAAAAUUAGUUAUUAAUUUAGAUAUUUUUAAAUUUCCUAAAAUCUAGGUCAUCUUUAAUUUAAAUUUCAAAUUAUUAGAAAUUUAAUUAAAUUUAGUUACAAAAUUUUGCAUUCAAUUUAAUUUAAAUUCAAAAAAUUCAAAAAAAAUUAUAAUUAAAUUUUAUUACAAAAAUUUAGAUAAUAAUUUUAAUACUUUAAAAAUCUCUUACAUACAAGAAAGAUUUAAUUUUAAAUUUUAAAUUUAAAUAAUAUUUUUAUUAAAAUGCAUAGUAAAUAAAUAUUUUAUCGUAUUUUAUCAUAAACAAUCGGUCUAAAAUAUCAAAUAUUUGAGAUUAAUAAAUAUUUAUAUUAUACAAUAAUAUGAUCGAACUGAUUAGAAUUAUAUAUAUAUAUAUAUAUUUAAGGUUCAUGAGUUAAUUUAUUGCAACAUGUAAGAUAUUAAGAUGAUUUGAGAUAAUUAAACUAACAAGUUAGCCCGUUUAUAUAUAUAUAUAUAUAUAUAUAUAUAUUUUUUAAUAGCACAAAUAGUAAAUAAAUAUCUUAUUAUAUUUUUUAUAAUCAAUUGAUCCAAAUAUUCCAUAUUAGUAAAUAUUUAUAGGGUUAUACAAUUAUAAUUAUAGUCUUAUACGGGUUAGUUUGUCAAAACAUGUAAGAUAUUAAAAAUGAUUUAAGACAACUAAACGGAUAGAUUAGCAAAUUCAUAGAUAUAUAGAUUGUUUAUGUGUAAAUCUAAAUUCAUAUAAUAACAAAGUUUAUAAUUAACAUUAGAUCAAUAUAUACUUAAUUAACGUAUACUCUUAUUCUACUAAUAUACAAAUUUUACUGUUUAAAAUUAAAUAUGAUAACAAUUUUUUAAUUUAAAAAAAUAAAUAAAAAAAUAAAUUAUAUCUAAAAAAAGAUAAAUGUAACUUAUAUUAGAAAUAAAAAAUAAAAUAUUAUCGUGCGGACGCACGGGGUUAAAAUUUAGUAUUAUAUCAAAACAGUAACACCUUUUUUAAACAGUUUUAAAUCUAUCCUAAUAUAUUUAAAUAUUAUUUUAAAAAACACAUUUUCUUUAAUAUAAAAAUUUAAUUCUAAAAAUUAGAUAUUAAUUUAGAUAACUAAGGAUUUCCUUAAAUAUACAUUAUAUUUAAUUUAAAUUCAAACUAUUUUUUGUAAUAACAUUAAUUUUAAAAAUAAAUAUUAAUUUAAAUUACUUUAGAUUUUCUUAAAUAUAGAUCAGAUUUAGUUUAACAUUGAAAUCCAAAUAAUAUUUUCAGGACAACAAAUAUAAUUAAUGAAUACCUUAUUGUAUUUUUUAAUCAUAUUCAAUUAGACUAAAAUUUUACAUGUUAAAAACAAAUAAAUAUUAAUAUUAUUGGUAAUUUGAUGGAACGGGUUAUGUUAUUUUAUAAUUGUGAUUUUAUGUGGAUUGGUUUAUCAAAACAUACAAGAUAUUAUAAUAAAUAUUAUUUUAAAAUGAGGAAAUAUUUAUAUUAUAUAGUAAUAUGAACAGACGGAUUAGAAUUAUAGUUUUAUAACUAUAGUUUUUUUUGGAUUAAUAGAAUGAGUGAGUUAUAAAUAUGUUUUUAUAAUAAAUUUUAUUUUUCGAUUAAUAGAAUGAUUAGGUUAGAAUUAUGUUUUUAUGAUUGUGAUCAUAAUAAUACUAAAAAAAUAUAAAACAUAAAUUAUAUCUAAACAUAAAAACAAAUUUUUAACACUUAUUAAAAAUUAUAUCUAUAAAAAUAUAUAUUACAAAUUGAUUAAAAAAAAUCGUGUGCGGAUGUAGAGGAUAAAAUUUAGUUGAUAAUUAUAAUCUGUGGUGGUCAUCUAUCAUCUCACAUAAAUGUCGAGUAUUUUUAUUGUGCAAGAGAAUUGAAAGAGGGUAAAUUAAACCGGGUUAGUGACGAGAGCGAUGACCUCAUUGGAUACACGUGUCACGUAUACCGGAGCUAACGUCCUACGUCUCUGCGCUUAUGGGCGUUCGCAUUUCACAUGAUAAAUAAAUAUAUAACUCUCGAAUUGUUCCUUGUAGGCACUCUUCAUAGCAAUACAUCUGCUUUUUCUCCGAUACACCGAUGAGGGUUUUAACAAACGUUUAAAGAAGCGGGAAAAUCAUCGGUUUGCUGGGAAUCUCCUUUAUCCGGUUCGUACCCACUUAAACUCUCACUCUCACUCUGUUUGUCAUUGGCUUUUUUCCUCUGUGUUUAAAUUUUUCGCGAUCGAAUUCUGGGAGUUUCGCAAUCGAAUUCCAGGUUUGGAAUCCAAAAUCUAGACACAGAGAUUAGGAACGAUUGUUCCGUGGUGUAUGCGUUCGGAGUCAUAUUAAAUGGAGUUCCUGUCUGUGUCUCUGUUUACGGAUGUUCUGAAAUUUUAGAUUGUUCGUGUUCAAAGUUUGAUUGUAAUUCAGGGUUAUACGAAAUGAGCUUCCGAUUUCUCUGUUUUUGCUGGCUUCCAUGAGUCACGGGUUGAUGGAAAAUUUUCAAAUUUUGGUGGUUUAGUAUGCGCAUGUGCUGAAAUCUUCUGGUUAAGUUUAGGGUCAAAGUGGGUUUUCCUCUAGCUCAAAUUUUCGAACAAAACUUUUGAGAUAUUUAUGGGUUAAUGAUUAGUUGAAUUUUGAAUUUCAUUUCUGACCUCUCUAUACUGAUCUGGAAACAGGAGAGAAUGGCACUUUAUCGCGGGAUCUCUUCCUUCGUUCUUCUUCUGGUCGCAUUGAGCACAUCGCCUAGCCAUGGCUUUCUUGGGACCGAGAAAAAGAUAAAGUCUGCAGUUUUCUUAUCACCAAAACUGGUGAUGAAUCCAGGAUCAGUUGCAAAUCCUUUCCUAUUCGACAUCGACUUCCCUAGAGGGCAUAUCGGCCUCAAAGGUUUCGAUGCUGAAGUGGUUGACGAAUCGGGCAAUCCCGUCCCUCUACACGAGACAUAUCUUCACCAUUGGGUUGUCCAACCUUACUAUGUUCGUAAAGGUUUCGAGCUUUCACAGCGAGACAUGCCCAGGAAUCACGGAUUUGCGAGGCAAGAUCCCGAAAGGAAUCUUGGUUCGAGAUCCGAUUAUAUUCUUGUAAAAAAUGGAGGGCUGUGCAGGAAUAGUGUAAGACAUUACUUUGGGUUAGGAUCAGAAACCCGCAAAACCUCGACAUAUCUUCCCGAUCCUUACGCGAUCGAAUUCGAUAAUCCUGAGGAAAGGCCUGAUGGGUAUGAAUUCAAAUGGCUUCUAAACAUUCACGCGAUAGACACAAGAAGCGUUGUAGAUAAAUCAGGCUGCACGGAGUGCCGGUGUGAUCUGUAUAAUGUAACCAUUGAUGAGUAUGGUCGAGCUUUAAGACCCGGAUACAAUGGAGGUCUAUACUGCUGCUACGAUAAGACGCAAUGUCUGGUGAGAAGUGGAUUUGAUAAUGGGGAGAAAACAAGAACUCUGUAUCUGAAAUAUACCGUGAGAUGGGUUGAUUGGGAUACCACGGUUUUGCCCGCUAAGGUUUAUAUCCUCGAUGUUACAGAUUCUUGGGAACGAUCACAAGGAUCAACAGGAGAUAGCCAAGAACAUUAUUGCCAUGUCAGUAAAAAACUUUCGCAUCUUUGCUUAAUACCUUUACUUAGCAUUCUUUCUACAAAAAGAUCGGUUUCUUAUGCUUUUUUUCAGGUGGAAUACGAGGUGAAACCGUGCAAAGCCAAUGGAGAUGGAUGCGUGGAUGUUAAGAAAAAGAGCUUAAUGAUGCCAUUCAACGGGUAUAUUGUCUACGGCGUAGCUCACCAGCACGCGGGUGGUAUCGGUGCUGCUCUAUACCGAGAGGUAAUAAAAUCUGAUAUAGUUUGAGUUAAUGCAGAAGAAUCAAACAUUGAAACUUUUUACUGAAUUGAGACCCGUGUGUUGUGGAUUGAUCAGGACGGUGAGGGAAUUUGCUCUUCGAUGCCAAAGUAUGGCAAUGGAGACGAACCUGGAAACGAAGCUGGUUACAUUGUUGGAAUGUCGUCCUGUUACCCUGAACCAGUAAGAGUGACCAAUGGAGAGACAUUGACCUUGGAGUUUAAUUACAGUAAUACCCAUGGUCAUACCGGAGUUAUGGGACUCUUUUACAUCCUCGUUGCUCAGCAGCUACCUGAACCGGAGAGCUCCUUGCCAGCACUCUUUCAGGUAACCACCCGCUGCUGGAACUCGGUUUAUUUAAACCGGUUUCAACACAUACACGGUUUUGGAGAUACAUGCCAUGUGGUUACUUUAUUUAUGUUAGUAUUUUUCAUAUCUUUGCAGGC